GGCUGGUCCAAAGGUAGCGAGUUACCUCAACUGACUGUUCACAGUUAGUUACAAAUCAAACUCCUACUCUUUCUCGUCUUCUCACUACUGCACUUGACUAGGCUUUG
rnacentral:Y_RNA from 1 species